rnacentral:rRNA from 1 species
UACGGGGGGAGCAAGCGUUGUUCGGAUUACUGGGCGUAAAGGGCGCGUAGGUGGUUCUGUAUGUCUACCGUGAAAGCGUACGGCUCAACCGUAUUUUGUCGGUAGAAACUGCAGGACUUGAGGCUGGGAGGGGCUGGUGGAAUUCCCUGUGUAGCGGUGAAAUGCGUAGAGAUGGGGGAGAACACUCGUGGCGAAGGCGGCCAGCUAGACCAGUUCUGACACUGAGGCGCGACAGCGUGGGGAGCAAACAGG